ACUCACCUGACUUACCUUUGCCUCCACAGCACCAUGCAAUAUGUAUGCAUCAUAUAUCAAUCAUAUAAUUCAUAAACCAAUCCAUGAUUUUCAAAUAAUUCUAUGCAUGGCAUGUUCAAAACAUAUUUUCAUAUAAAACAUUUUCUGGGAAAAACAGUAGUAUAUAGGUAAUACGAAAACAAAACUGCCCACUCACCUGGAGUUCGCUCAACAACUCCCUAGCACCACACAUCAAGGCGUCAUGAAGAUUAGCGCCUAGAACAAUAAUCAAACCCAACCUCAGAAAUCCUGCCGAUAGAAUACAUAACUUAUAUAAGACACGUCACUACGUAGUUCGAUCCGGAUGAUCUGCAAUUCAGAUUUCAAAAUCCGAAACUUCCAGAGGUCCACAAUAUACCUCUAGGACAACAUCCUAAAAUUUCGUUACCAUCCAACGGUCGGAUCUCCGUCAAUUUCCAAAACUAAGUGACGGUUAACAUUCUAUUUUAUGAACUUACAAUUCUAAUUCCGGAAUAUCCGUAAAUCGGAUUCCCAAUCCGUAAGUUCCUAUAAUCCUCAAAUAUUACGUAUUACAAUGUAUCAAAGUUUGAUGACGAUCCAACGGUCGGAUCGUCAAUUCACAUUUUCACCUAACCCCGAAUCGUAACCAACUUAGGUUCAAUUAUUCAAUUUACGUCCAUCAAUUAUCAAAACAGAACCUAGAACCUUAAUCACAAGCUAAUAAUGACAUUGGCGGCCAUUGGCCACACGCCGCCGCGCGGGCCGCCGCGGGUGGCGGUUGGCCGCCCCCGGCUCGCCGGAAAAUUCAACUAUUUCCAAAAAUUACCAAAAUUUGCAGAUUUGAAGAUCUCAAUGAGUAGAACAACUUUCAUACCUGAGACCAAGGCCAAUUUGGCCUGGAAGUGCUUCAAUUUCACCAAAACCGUGAAGAACCCUAGAAUUUGGGUGUUUCCAAUUCGACCUUCAAACUUGUUCCAACGCCUCAAUUACCUCUUGGGCUUUGUUCUAGGUCCUAAAGGAAUGCUAAAGGUGUUAGUAAUUGAAAGAAAACAUUUCAAAAUUUGGAGAAUUUAAACAAAAGGGUCGCGGCACCCGUAGGGGUGUUCUUCGCGAAAUCACAACGAAAUUCAAUGAUUCUUGGGGUGAAACGUAAAGAGGGAAGGCCUAGAUGAUGAUUAGGAGUGGUACCUUGACUCAAUUCGUUGGAAAUUUGGACGGAAAUGGCGAAAACCCGCCGAUUUGGAAGCUUGGGUCGCGCGGUCAAGGGUGACCCAUUCCUCCUGUUCCCCCGCGCACCACUCUCCCUCCUUUCCCUCCUUUCCGUCCCCUGAUUGGUCAGCUUCUUCCUCUCCCUUCUUCUGGUUUGCUCUCACCUUCUUCUUCUCCGAUUGGGCAUUUCUGCCCAGUCUCUUCUUCUUUUCUGUUUUUCUGUUUCUUCUUCUCAUACACAUACACACACCAAAAACCUUUCCCUCAUCCCAGCCAUCCAUUUCAUUCAUCAAUAAAUCUGGGCCGUCCAAUUUCAUAAAAGAAUUUCUAUAUUUUACUAAAAUUAUAAUUCCUUAAAAUUCCAAAUUUCAAACGUUAAUAACUUCUUCGAUAUAACUCCAAAUCACGAACCGUCUGCGCCCACACGUCCGUAACGACGAGUACUACGAGGAUAUGUCAAGAAAACAAAUCUUAGAUGGCACGACACAACGAUUAACCUCGAAUGAUGUGCGUGCCUCGAAGGGCAUUUUUGUAAAAUCCUUUAUUAAAACUUUAAAAAUUCUUAAAAUUAGGGACGGGCUGUCACAAUCUACCCACCUUACAGAAAUUUCGUCCUCGAAAUUUACACAAUCUUUACAAUCCAUCAAUAUCCAUGAAACAGCCCGAAACACAUCUCUCUCAUUCGAUUCUUUGACUUUCAAGUAGUUUCUUCCACUGAAAGAUUCCUCCAUAAAUUUUCACCAAACUCAGAGUCUUGAAUAUCAUCCGUCCCCAAUUCUAACAAUUUCGAAACACAAGACAUAGCUUUCCCACGGCCUUAUGGCGUUACUCUAGGGAACAAACUGAAGGAACCAACAUACCCAAGAAGUUUAAACAGAUCCCAAUCUCCUUUUUUCCAUAAAACAAAUAAAUAACUGUUGCGCUUAUCUGGAAAGGUUGAUGUUCUCAUACUGAAGUAACAUGCGCUGACGUCACAAGUUAAUCAAUUAUUAUUCAAACUCCAACCUAACUAUUUGGUAUACGAGGAAGCUUGUCCAUGAAAUCCAUAGUAAUAUUCUCCCAUUUCCGCCGUGGAAUGGGAAAUGACUACAUUAUUCCAAAAGACUUAUUUCUUUCUGCUUUAACCUGAUGACUGAUGAUACGCCUACUAACAUACUUCGCCAUUCCUCUUUUCAUACCCGUCAAUAGUACAUGAACGAAUGGUAUGAUAAAUCUUAGUACUUUUGGGAUGCAUUGUAGAAGUGGAAUAAUGUACAUCGUCAAAAUUGCUUUAUUUAAUUCCACACCAUUAGGCAUAAACACUUUGUUCCCUUGCAUAAGCUUGCCAUCUGAUUCUCUAACUCUAAGGUCCUUCUUUAUCCCGUUAUUCCUUGCUUUAAAUAAAUUCUUAAAUUUCUUCGUCAAACGCUUGAGUAUCGAGUACGAUCUACCAAAUGGGUCCAACUUAGAAAUUAGCAAGUAAGGCUUAUUCUCGAUUUUUGAUACUCAACUUUACUCCAGUAGAUUUCAAAUCCACAAGAAGAUGAACAUAGCAAGCAUACCAAGCAUUAAUUCUCACUGGGGUCUUCCUACUAAAUGCAUCAGCCACAACAUUAGCUUGACCACCCUCGUCACACAAUCAUAAUCACUAAGCAACUCAUUCCACCUUUGUUGCCUAAGAUUAAGAUACCUCUGAAUAAACAGAUAUUGGGUACUCUUUUGAUUUGUAACAAUCAUGCACUUUUCUUCCCAUAAAGACAAUGUCUCCAAAUUCUCAAAGCAAAGAUGAUAGCUGCUAAUUCCAAAUUAUAAUUAGGGUAAUUCAUCUUAUGAGAUCCCAAUGGCCAUGAAGCAUAGGCAAUCAUCCUACCAUGUUGCAUCAACGCGCAUUCAAGAACAUUCAAAGAAGUAUUACUAUAGACCACGUAAUUACCACUAUCGUUUGGGAGUGCGAAAACAGAUGCAUGAGUGAGGGAAUACUUUACUUGCUGAAGCUCUACUCACAAUUUUUCAUCCCACUCAAACUUAACCUCUUUUCUCAUCAAUCUCGCCAAGGGCGAAGCAAUAAUUAAAAUCUUGGACGAACUAUCGACAAUAUCCUGCUAAUCCGAGAAAACUCUGAACCUCAGUCACGGUUGGCAAUUGUUCCAAAUUCUCAAUCGUUGCUACUCUUUUAAGAAUCCACUUGAAUACCUUAAGUAGAUAUAAUUAAUUUAUCCAACAUUAGCAUUUGCUAAACUUAGCAUACAUCAACGUUCCUUCAAUCUUUGCAACACCAACUUUAAAUAUCUAGCAUGCACUGCUCUAAUCUUAUCAAUCUCGUCAAUGGCAACAACAACAAACCGAUCUAGAUAUCACUGGAAUACUUCCUUCAGUAAGCUCAUAAAAGUAGCAGGUGCAUUCGUCACUCCGUAUGGCAUCCCAACUUGAAAUGACCAUAACGAGUCCUGGAUUCAGUCUUAUGGACAUCCCCACUGUUAAUCUUCAACUAAUAUCAUUCAGACCUCAAGUCAGUCUCAGAAAGUACCCAGGCGCCUCAGAGCUGAUCAAAUAAUAAUUAAUACACAACAAUGGAUAACAGCUCUCAAUCGUUACCCGAUUCAAUUACCUAAUAUCAAUGCCUAGCCUUAAUGUCCACUUUCUUCCUCACAAAUAAACCGGAGCUUUUCCAAUGUGAUAUAAUAAGUUGAAUGGAACUUUUAACUAAACCUGAACCAAUUUCUAACAUAGGAUUUGUACCUAAAAACAAUUCAAUAAUGGAACCCACAUCUCUGCCUGGCGGCAAUCUAGGUAAGUCAUCUGGGAAUACACCAAGAAAAUGUCUAACCAUCUUUACAUCUUCCAUACUAUUAGGAUCAACAUCAUUUAGCACCAUAUGAACUCAAUAUCUUGGCAGCCUUUUGAUAACAAUCUUCUUUGCUCUCUCAACAGGAAUAAUGGCAUAACUCACUCCACUUUACUUACCCCCAAAAGUAACCUCUGGUCAUCUAGGUCAACAAAAAUUAACUGAUUCCCCAUAGCAAUCUAGCUUGACACAAUUAUACUGCACCCACUGGUGCCAAAAAAAUCACCUCAAAAUCCAUAAUAUCCAACGGAAUAAAAUUCACUGACAUGACAUUUUUCACCAUCACUGGACACCCUUAAUAAACCAAAUCAACAUAAAGUGCCUUACUUGUUUACUUACUUAACGAAUCCAACAAAUAAGUUAUAAAUAUUACGGUCUGCAGCCCGCAAUACAAAUAACUCACUGUUGUCUCGAUAACUAAGUAACAAUUCCUGAGGGGUGUAAUAUUAUCAUCUUGUUCUUCCUUAGAAAUACAUAAAUACGCCUCGAUCGUGCUCCAACAUUACUUUCUUUGGCAACAUCGACCAUAAUAAGAAAUAUAUCAGCCGGAGUCAGCUAGAAUGACCUGUACGACUGAGUCUACAACUCGACCAUCCAUGCUAGCACAUAAGUCGGAGUCACAUAUAGUGACCUGUACGACUUACUCGUCAAUAUUUCCAAGUGAUAUGUUAAGGAAGACUAUUGGGUAACAACUGAUUCCAGGGACAAUUCAUACCUCUAUGUCCCAUCCGUCCACAUGAACACAUUCACUGAUUCCCACACUCUCCAAAGUGUCUAAUAUUAUACCUAUGGCACAAAGGUACAUUUCCCUUACUCGAGUCACCUUGUCUUUAAGAUCUGGGAUCACCCGUAAAUCUAUCACUUCGCCUCGGACCAGUGGCACUAAAACCUCAGUUGGAAGAAUUAGUUCUAACUUCACUUCUUUUGAAGCUCUGAGUCUUUCGACGUCCUUGAUAUGACGGAUCUUUAACUUUCUCACCUUUCCUCUAAUUACCAUUCUUUUCUUAUUCUUCUUUACUCUCGCUGAUCAUAUUCUCAAAGUCCUCAAAGCCCAACAACAUCUCGUAAACUCCUGGUAAAAAGUACAAUGGAUUGUGGUCGCCAAAGAACGUCACUUCUUCUUAUUAUCCCGCCAAAAAACGACAUAACACCUCGACCGGAUUAGUAACAACAUCCGAAUGGAAACAAGGCAAGUCUGUAUUCAAAUUUAACUUAUAAUCAGUCUCAAAGGUUCCUUUAGAUAAUAGACUGAAUCAUAGUGACAAUAAUUUCCCCCAAACUACUAUAUCAGGGAAUUUAGGCUCAUCCGAACUACGUGGCUCGCUAUGAGGCGGUAUAUAGUUCUGACAGAAGACACUAGGAAAUUCUCAAGAUGUCCAGAAUUGCAACCUAGGCUCUGAUACCAACUGACACACCCGUCCCGACACCCGUCCCGAAGUGAGGGCGUGCUGGCCGUCACGUGAGAGUGACGUAACCAUUUACAUAGUUCAGAAGCUUUAAAAAAAAAUUUCCAAUUACUAAGAUGACACACCCGAGGGUGAGUCCUACUUUUGUGAAUUCUGUCAGAACACCGUUGGAUUCCUCGUGGCCACCAAAGCUCUGCUAACUUGAACCUGGAGGGGCGCAAAACAAAAUUGAGUGGGUCAGUAAAAACAAAGUUUUUUGAAAACUUUUCAUUUAAAAUAUUUCUAACCCCUCACCGUAAAACCUGUAUACUUUCCCAGAAAAUAGCAUAUAUAUAAACAUAUAUAUAAGCAAAAAUCUCAAAUCUCAAACCUUUAACACUUUUCAGAAAAAUAUAUAUAUAUAUAUAACCAUAUGAAAUCUCAAAACUUGAAUCCCAAAUCUUUAACAUUUUUCAAGAAAAACAUGCCAUGCCAUAAAUCAAAAUAUAAAUCAGGUGAAAUAAGGAAUCAAUCGGAGACCCUGCAGUUGGUCCUAUACGAUUAAUUCAAUAGCUCAAUAUCUCACUAAGCCGGAGUCACCACAGUGACCUAUACGGCCCUACUCUGCACAUCACUCGGAACUACGUAAGGUAGUCUGUACGAUGAAAGGUGUAAAAAUACGCUCUAGUGCUUCUCUCAUCAUAUCAUCAGCGCGCAUAACUAAGGUCACCCACUAGUCGGAAUCACGCCUAGUGAUCUGUACGACUAGCAUGUCGGAACCCUCACAUGGUCUGUACGACAUCCACCUACUUGGAUCCAAGGCGAGCGUGCGGUGUGGUGAAUAAAAUAAGCACUAACACCUAGGGUGCAGAUUAUGAGCUCAAAUUAUAUCAACAUCAACCAAUUCAAUGCAUAAAUGAACUCACCUGACUUACCUUUGCCUCCACAGCACCAUGCAAUAUGUAUGCAUCAUAUAUCAAUCAUAUAAUUCAUAAACCAAUCCAUGAUUUUCAAAUAAUUCUAUGCAUGGCAUGUUCAAAACAUAUUUUCAUAUAAAACAUUUUCUGGGAAAAACAGUAGUAUAUAGGUAAUACGAAAACAAAACUGCCCACUCACCUGGAGUUCGCUCAACAACUCCCUAGCACCACACAUCAAGGCGUCAUGAAGAUUAGCGCCUAGAACAAUAAUCAAACCCAACCUCAGAAAUCCUGCCGAUAGAAUACAUAACUUAUAUAAGACACGUCACUACGUAGUUCGAUCCGGAUGAUCUGCAAUUCAGAUUUCAAAUCCGAAACUUCCAGAGGUCCACAAUAUACCUCUAGGACAACAUCCUAAAAUUUCGUUACCAUCCAACGGUCGGAUCUCCGUCAAUUUCCAAAACUAAGUGACGGUUAACAUUCUAUUUU
rnacentral:lncRNA from 1 species